CUGGAUUCAACCAAACCUGAGGUCAAAAAUAUUCAAAAAAUAAAAAACAGCAAUACAACAAUAAAACAUAAUGCAAAUGAAUAAUAUUGUAUAACAAUUAUUUACAGAGCAUUUACAUUGUGUUAGGUAUUAGAGGUAAUCUAGGGGGAUUUAAAGUAGAUGCGAGGAUGCAUGUAGGUUAUAUGCAAAUACUAGACCAUUUUAUUACAUACAAGGGACUUGAGAAUCCUUGGAUUCUGGCAUCCACAAAGGGUUCCUGGAGCCAAUCCUUCCCCUACUCCAGGAUACCGAGGACAACUGUAUUCUCAUGGUUUUCAUAUCAACAUUAAGAAAAUCUGACCACUCUACAAGGCUGGCAUUUGGAAGAAAGUGAAGGGAUUCUAGCAGUUUUUAGGCUUGACUCUGCCAGUUGUGGAAAGAGUGCAAUGUGCUCCCACUGUCUUCGGGUGGGGGACAGCUAGCAGUGUGUGGGGAAAGUGCUAGUCUCAUCCCAGAUGCACAGCAGUCACCUGCUCCCUGCUGCCAAGCCUCCUGUGGGCCUGUGGAGGGCUGCCCUGCACACCUGCAGGGCGCAAGAGACCCUGUUUUUCUUCCUUUCCUCUUCCAUUUUCCCUUUCCCUUGAGUGCCUGAAGCGUGUUUUAAGGGUGGGAGGAAAAUUCAAAGGUUUCCCAAUUGGCUAUUUUGUCAUGAGAGGCUUUGUUCUAGCCGUGUUGGUCCUGGCAAACUUGAGGUCAAAGUAGGAGGUAGAAUUUCCUCCCAAGGUCCAAUGAGCUGGUCUCCAGCCCAAGCUCUCCUGGCUCCAUUCAACUUUGUUCUGCUGAUAACAAUCUUGCUGAAAUGCAAAUCUGUAUCAAGUCACCAGUGACCCUGGAGACUCCUAAACCCCUCACCUGGUGGCCACCACACCCCCAUUUCACCUCCAACUACACCCAUUUCCCAUUGCCUAAUCCCUCUCCUUCUUUCAGAUCCCGCAGGAGGUGGGAAUUGAGGCAUCUGGGAUGACUUCUGAAUUCCUACAAGAAUUACGAGACACUUAGGUUUGGACAUGCUGGGACUGAGGUGUCUUGGGACAUCCAGGGGAAAGCACGAAUGCAGUUCCUCACUACCACAAAUUAU
rnacentral:lncRNA from 10 species